GGUUAACGCUGGCGGCGCGCCUGAUACAUGCAAGUCGAGCGAGGGCCCCUCUCCCGCAAGGGAGGCGGGUUCCUAGCGGCGAACGGGUGAGUAACACGUGAGCAACCUGUCCCGAAGUGGGGGAUAACAUCGAGAAAUCGGUGCUAAUACCGCAUGAGUUCACCGAGGACAUCCCCGGUGAGGAAAGCAGCAAUGCGCUUUGGGGUGGGCUCGCGACCUAUCAGCUAGUCGGGGGGUAAUGGCCUACCGAGGCCUUGACGGGUAGCUGGUCUGAGAGGACGACCAGCCACACGGGGACUGAGACACGGCCCCGACUCCUACGGGAGGGCAGCAGUAAGGAAUCUUCCGCAAUGGGCGAAAGCCUGACGGAGCGACGCCGCGUGUGGGAUGAAGU
rnacentral:rRNA from 1 species